CUCACUGUAUGACCCGCUACGGUCGUGGUCUGCUGGUAUAUCCGCUUUAUGAUUUAACAGAAAUAGACAAAACGCGUCGAGAGAAAAAGUUCGAAGAUCAUUGUUACCGAUAGCCAUCGCCGCUCGACACGCCAAAAUUAGAAAACAGGCUGACUGUCGAGCCGUUGUCGAGAUUUAAUUCACUCAGGGUCAUGAUUGUGUCGAUGCGGUAGUUGUGUUGAUUCGGAUAGCGCAGGACACGGAUAUAUAAUCAAGCAACGCGCUGGAUUGAUUCGACUACUCCAAAGUAUAAGCGAGUACUGGCUAUGUGACACAAGUCACGCGGAAAGACAACGUGACAUUUGAGUGCGGUUCGUUGUCUUCUUCGUUGGCCUGCCACCGCGUCACGUAGCACAUGGGAGAAGGGAGCGCCGCUCCAGGGUGAUGUGAAGCCUUCUGCAGAAGAGCGGUUGUACUGCCUUUCGAUUCUCGAAAGGCUUGUUGUGACAUGCUCCAUCCUUCUACACAUAUAUACCAAGUAAUGCAAAACCUGGCACCUUACGCUUUUCCCGUUUUACGUCCGGUAUCGCCGUUAGGCAUUCCAUUAGACGCGUGACUCCCAGCACGAAACGAAGUCUGUCCGUGCCCGGGCUCGAACCCAGGCGACAACAUGUCCUUAAGUACAUGACUAUACACAGUAUCGGCAGUUCUGAAACAUUUCAGUAAAGGCCUGUGACGACGCUAUCACCUACGAGCUCCAGAAAGCAAAUGACAGCCCAAAUUCAGGUAUCAUAGAGUGCUGCGACCACCGCAGUGUUUAACGGUAACAAAAUGCCGCUGAAAAUGGAAAUGCCUUUUUACAGUCUACAACAUAUACUAUCUACGAAAGCAAGAUAUUGCCGUCAGCAAACACGACAGAAGACUAUGUUCUAGUUUGCGAAAUUAGAAGUACAUUAAUUGAACGGAGACAUUACCAUGACCAAGGCCAAA